GCAGCGCGGGGCUGCUGCAGGGACAGCGCUGUGCUGAAGCCUCCUUCAUAGGCAAACGUGCAGUAAAGUAAAGGAGGGGACUGCUUAUUUUCACCAAGGCCGGUGUUAUUAACCUUACAGGGGGACUAACACGAUGCUCGUCCAUAAAAGGUAAGGCUGGAAACUUACCCAAACUGUCACUCUGUAGAGAAAAGUAUGAACUCAGGUUAGUUUCUCAAUGCAGCACCUUUUGGUUUGGGCCUCUGUAUUGCAUUACCUGAGUCAGGCAAGCCCUAACCAAGAAUGUAACUUUGUUCUGCGUGGUAACGUUGUAAUAACAUAAUUAUAUAAUAUUGUGUAAUAAAUAUAAUCCUUAAUAAUAAACCUUAGGUUCUUAAUUUUGUCAGUUUGUUUCCCUUACGUGCCUGCUGCACUUUCAGGUCAUACAGUACAGUCACACAAUGGCAGAAGACCCUUGACAAUAGAGCACUACUGGCUGUAUUACUCUAUGUGGCACGGCAGUGACAUCUGGAAAAAUAUUAAUCAAAAAAUAAAGUUUCCCUUAGCCCUCUAUCAUUAAACCCAAGGACAUCCAGUUUAUCUAGGAGAGUAUUUAAAACCAAACACAUUUGGAGUAAGUUCUAUUCCACUGGUUUCAAAGGUGCUGUAUGCCAGAGGAAAUGACAUACCCAGACAUAAGAGAAAUACACGUUUUCUCCUAAAACCUCGUUCUUGGUUCACCAGCUUGGAAAAGCUAUUGAUGGCUUCUGACAUAACAAUUAAAAAAAUAUCACGGAAAGCAAUAACAUAUGGUUACAACAGCCUGGUCUCUGUUUUUAUACAAACCAUUAGAAAUUGCUUUAUGCUUCAGUAGGAAACCACAGAAACUACAGUAAUACUCCUCAGGGAAAAACAAGAGCUGUAAUGUAUCACGUAGAAAACAAUUAGUUAGCCAGCUCAGGAAACAUUACCAGCUUGUAGUGUACUGCCCUGUUUAAUAAAGAGUGCCUUGGAAAUUUCUUACAAGGGUCAGCAGAAAGAAAGGCCUAAAUCAUCCUAUUGUAAUGGAAAUAAAAAAUAACUUCCGGAAAAGUUUGUGGAUGUGGCAAGGAUUAUUGCAGUCAUAAAUCAUAACAGUAAUAUAUGCAGGGUGAUCUGUACCAGUUAAUGAGAGCCUCAAACAAAGUGCAUGAAUUUUAAUCUGACAAAAGUUUUAUAUACGUCUAAAACCAAAAAUGAUGUUCCAUUCUGUAUCAUGAUGUUAUCUGUUAAAUGAGUUCCCACUCUGACAACUGUGGCUAGGGAGGAAUAAAACCGUGUUUUGAUAAAAUAAGAGAGAAAAAUACUUGCUUGGGAAGAGGCCUGCAGAAGUACACGUUGUACCACGUUGUCUACGCUUAAUUUUUUUUUUUUUUGUAGGGGAACAGAUGUCUAAACAACAUGGAAUCAGGAAACUGAAGGGCUUGAGGAAGAGAGGGUUAAGAAGCCAGCAAAAUGGCAGGGAGCUGCACAGCCAUAACUUGAUGAGGCCAGAGAUAAAAAUCUGCUUUCAAGUGUAAGGGAAAGCUUUAGAGACUGAAGAGGAAGUUACAACCAGCUAAUAAUUAAUACUAUGCAUGAGAUUGGUGAUCAAACCAAAGAAACACGCUGAGCAACAUUUCUCCUAUCCAUUAAAGACCUUAUUCAGCAUGCUGAAGAGUGGCUGCCUCAUUUUAAUGAAACACUAUCAGUCAUCGUUUACCACAAAUGACUGCAAUACUAACUUAGGAAUACAACAGGAUCUAUAGUUGCUUCUCUCAGAUUUCAGAAGCAGAGCUCAUGACAAUCCUCCCACAUCUGUUUCAUCAGCUGAUUAAAAUGUAGAUCUCCUACAAGGUUUAAAAAUGUAAGACUAUUAAUAGAGUUACUCCUCUCAAAGAAGUAUCCACUUAAAAAAGAAAUCAAAACAAAACAGAGACCACCUAGAAAAACCUGAAAGAGCACCAAAAAGAGAAUACAGUAAACUUGGUAAGUGAUCACUCUGUGCAAACCAGACACACUUGUUUAGAAUUAGUCAGGAGUUGCAAAACCCAAGAGAAUCCAGAAAUCUCUAUUCUUAGCCAGGAAGCUGUUUGGGUUUGCUGAAGAGGGUACGAAUCACUCUCAUGACAGACAGCACAUUACAGAGCUGACUGCACUGGGAGAGGUCACCUGCUUACCUUCCUUCCAGGAAGUCUACAAGGGACUGCUAAACCAGGAACUAGAGUCUGUCGUUAUUUAAAUAAUACAAAACAAAAAACCACACCACAAAACAGCCAGAGCCCUCAUCACGAAAUUAAAGCAGAGGGCUUUAUUCCAGCUAGCUGUCUUCAGAAAGCAACAGGGGAUGAUAUUUAAUUUCAGAUUUAAGUAUCAAAAAUGUAUAUACCAAAUAAAGGUCAGCACGGUGCCAGAAUUCCUGAAGACAAUAAAAUACAAAGUUGAGAAACUUCAACAUUUUUUUUUCCUCUGAAAAAAUAUCUGCAUUGUACUUAUCUCACUGAAAUAAAUUCUGUAUUAUGAUUUAUGAAAGUUACCUAGUUUGAGGAUACAGUAUGAUCAAAAUUUGAUUGAUGAAUCAUGAAUUUGAAAAGGGUCUGUCGCUAAUGACUGGGCUAAAGACUGAGCAAAAUACAGCUCAAAAGGAAAGCAUCUGAGCUGACAAGAAAUUACCUUAAAGGAAUUCAUAUAGAAAACAGAAAAAAUAGAAAAUAAAACAAUUUGACAUGUAAGAGAACUUGCUAAUAAAAUAUUUGUAUGUAAUUUUAUAAUUCACACGUUUAUAGUUCUGAUAAUGCUGGAAAAAUAGAAGGGAUCAUGCUGUGUAAUUUGCAUCGUUGACUAGAGCAGAACUAAGGAUUUCUUACUGUCUUAGCACAGAGUAUUGGUAAAGAUAAGUGACUAGGUGAUUUUACAGUCUCUCAGAUUCAAGCAGUUUUGAUUUGUAACCUUGGAAUUGUUUUUGAAUGGAUGUUAAUACACGUGAAUCUUGUGCAAGCAUUUAACAGCGAGAAUUAUGGUUAUACAGCAGGAAGAAGGUGCUUUGUAGGGUGGAGUUAAACUUCAAAGACAGUGAAAUAAAGAACAGUCAUCACUACACCUAACAGCUGUCCUUCUAUUGUAAUUAAGUAGAACAUUCAUUUCCAAGUGUUAUGACAUUUAAUCAGCUGUAUAAAAAUAAUAAUAGUAAUAAGAAUGAUAAGCAUCAUCACCAAAGUUGUUAUGAGAGCAAACUGAGAUCCAACAUUUCUAAAAGUUGUUACAAGCAAAGUGUUUCACACCAUAAGUACUGUCCAAAAUAUUUUCUUGGAACGUAUCCAGAUAAACUUCUUUCUUCAAAGGGAAAAUUUGCAACAAAUUCCACAGGUAUUACUCAUUAAACAAAACAACUCUACUCUGUCAUUGUAUUGCAUCUGUGUAUCCACGUAAAGAUGUGAAUUGUUUUUUUUCAUUUUAGACUGAAUGCGUUCAUGACAAAUUGGCAUUUUUCACCAUAUUACAGGAGGCAGACUACAUCAAGUGGCAUUCACCACAAAGCACAGCGUUGUAGCUGCACACCCAGAAUAAGAAUGAUGAUUCUGUAUUCUUUAAAUGUUUUCCUGGAUUAGAUGCACACUUCCUUUCUUCUGCAGUAAUUCUAAAAUAAACUUUCUUCUAAUAAAUAGGUGUUUUAAACCUUAUACCCCAGACUGAGUAAAACACUAAAACUAUAAAAAGAUGUCAGGAAUGUGAAGUAAUACAUUAGAUCAGUUUUGCCAUAAUCCAUGUUCCAGAAAAGAAAAAAAAAAAAAAAUGAUGCUAGUCCUGAAAUAUCUGGGGUGGAAAAGAAGAGAUGACCCUGCUGACCUCACAGUUCCUACUGCAGGUUUCAUAUCUGCUUUUAAGUGGCUUUUUAUGGUCAAUCAAGCACUGGCACCAUACUGGAACCUUUCAAGCUUUUCUUGAGCUGCAUAGCUUAUAGAAAAGGGUCAGCAUAGUCCACUAGUGCUACACUAAAACUAUAGCCACAAGUGAGAAGGGCUGUUUUGGUUAUGACAAUGCUGACAGGAUGAUACAUUCUCAUCCUUGUGCAUUUUCAGUUCCCUGCAGCAUGUUUCAGCUAAGUAUUUGAAAUGGAUUUCUUUUGUUGCAAAGUUUUGUGUAUUUGUUUUUCAGUGAGCCACUGUGAACGAGCUCAAAACCCAUCAAGUGAUACCCUUGUUACUGCUUAGGAAAUCCUUCUUUGACUAUUCUUGCAAAAACAUCUGUUGUGUUCCAGCCAAAUUUCACAAGUGAAUAAAAAUAGUAAUAGAGGGGAAUCGUUAGAAGAAACCAUCAUACAUCUUCUGUUUUUGAAUACAAGAGAUGUAACAGAAGCUCAUGUCUUAAUUUCAAGAACCACUUUGCAGUAGAGAAAAUUCAUUCUUGGAAUAAAAAAAAACCAAAAACGUUGUCACAAAGAGCUGCAAGUAUCACUGAACGUGGCCCACAUAACCAACCAACAGCGCUCCUGCAUAUUCUACAUACUCGUCCAUCACUCCCUGUGAUAUACUUGAAUCACCAACCAGAUCUGCAGCUGGCAAUUAUCAGCUCCACCCUAAUAGUUCCUAUUCCUCACCUUUCUCAAAAAACAACAACAACAUUUUUCAAUUAUUUUACAGAACAACUGAUUAAUCCCCCUUUCAUACAUUCCUGCCAGAUAGCGACAGUAAGGAAUUUUCCACUGAGCUGGGUCUUAUCUUCAGAGUACUAAUUUGGCAAAGCAGUUAUCUAUAACCCCUUCCUAACAAUCUCUAAUUAAUUUUUUCUUGUAUUAUUAUGUUCAUAACAACCAAAUGAUAGUCCUGACAGCAUGAGCGUUUUCACUGGAUGUUAUACACUCUUUCCCACACUUUGCAGUGACAUUGUAUUUGUUAUUUAGAACAAACCCAGUCUGUUCCUGGAACUGUGCCUAUAGAAACUACUGUAGUAAUGUGUUUAUAUGAUAUAUAAUUACAGGCAUGCUGUAACCUGUCCAUAGCCACAGCAGAACAAGUUACAUUAUCAAAAACAUAAACCCAUCCUUAGAUUAACUAUUCAAUCUGAUAUAUUCUUUCUUCAAUAGCUAAUGUUAAAUAAAUUAAACGAACACAGGUUACAUUUUUGGGCUUCAAUAGAAAAGAUAGCAACUAUGCAAUAUUCCAGGCAUAUUCAAAACUACUGAACACUCCAUAAUGCAAUACAGGUUUCAAGCCACUCUGUCUGAAAAUAAGGUCAUUUAAUAUCAGGCAUUUAUAUUUGAAAAUACUUGCCAAAAUGCAAAGAAGUUAGAGGAAGAAAGAUGUUACUCAGCUACCAAGUCAUGGUAUUAAAAAAGAUGAGCCUAAGUACUUAAAAAUAAAUUCUAAAAUUUGGUUACAAUCCUAGCAAGCAACAGAUUAUUACUAUAGACUUUAAUAUACGGGGGUUUUCUACAGGUUUUUCAUCUAUAAUAGGUUUUAAUCUCAAGAUAAUCAGGAAGAUAUUUUUACAGAAAUAACAUUUUCUUUAAACAGAGAAGUGGAAUCUGUGAAAGUUUAAUUAUCAAAGGAAUGUACUUCGAUGUACUUCACAGACUUUAGUAUCAUUCCUUACUCAGUAUGUUAUGUUUUCUAUUUUCUUGAAAAAAGUUGUAAAAAAGUGGCUCUAAUUUUCUCUUUAUUUCCCCCUCACACUUUUAUUCCAAAAAAACAAGAUAUCAAGAAGUCAUUUUAAAUCACAGUAAUAGUUACAAAUACUUUUUAUUCCACAUAUCAAAUAUCUCUUAAGUGAUGCCUAGGACAGUUCUGUACAACUUUUCUUCAAUAGUAUCUAGUGAACUUUUUUAAUAUGUUACUGUAACCUGUUGCUGUGCAUACACCAUAACAAUACAGUUAAAAUGCAGCUCCAACAGUAUUGUUUUGUAUUGCAUUUACACUCACAAAUGAAUUAAACCAGAAUGCAAAGAGUUAGUGCCACUGAAUCCAGAGGGAGAAGAAUGAGUGGAGAGGGACAAGCAGUAUAGGAUCUGGUAUCGCAGUUUGUCACUUUAUCUAGAAGAAAUGUACUUUGCAAUUAUGAAAUGGAAUGAAGUGGCUGAAAUAACACAAGAACAGCUGGUCUCAUUAAAAUGAGUUACAGAUAGCAUAAAUCUUGCAAUAGCAAUCUUACAAGAUUUGGUAGAAAAACUCUAUCGUCUGCCUAAUCAUUCACCAUGGAUGCAUUCCUGCAGAUGUGGGGAAAACAACUUUUGCUCUCUCAUAUCUAAUUUCCAAUUUGUUACUCCAGUAAUAUUUGCUGUGUAUGAAAUGUGUUGGUUUUUAUUCUUUAAUUUAGACUUGCUCCACAAUUAUAAUCAAAUGCAAGAAAUAAUUAUGCUGUAUUUUCAUAUUGAGUUUCUGGGACAUGUAAUAUUAUUACAUUAUGAUACCUUUUAAAGAUUAUACAAUACGUUAAUGCAAGCCAUGAUCUUGCACUGAAUCUGAUCAAGUGGAAGAAGUAAAGAAAUACACUGCAAUACCACCUUACUGAGGUAACCACCGAUAUGAGGUAUCACAAGACAUGUUUAAAAUUUGUUCUUCCAUGGAGAAAUUCCAAAGAACGGCACAGUAGUACCUCAACUCAGUGGUCUCACAGCUCGUCUCUUCCUUCAAAUUCUAUGUAGGUUGCUAUAAAACACAAAGCUGCAUAGUGUUUUAGUCAUGAAAAUAGCUGCAUCUUUUUAUUCAUUUCUAAAAGCACAAUUGCAUGAUGUUCUUUUAAAAGUGUAUUGCAUCUUUAUAUGAUUGACAUUGGAAUCAAUAUAGGAAGUAUAAUGCAUAUAAUUUCCCCAGAAAAAUGUAACUUAAUUACAAAUAUAUCUGAUUAUCACAAUAACAUUCAUUUCUGUUCAUGAAUAUGGAUAAUACUGUAUAUUUAAUAAACCUAGGUUUAUUCUGAUAUAGAAAUAUAUAAAAUAUUAUAAGCCAUAUAUAAAUAUAAGCCAUUUCUACUAACAGAAAUCUAUUUGAGAAUGCCAGCUGCUAAGUACAGUAGAUCUAUCAUAAGUAAUGGUAAGACAGUGUAGAUUCUUAGCUGAUAGGAAAAAGCAUCUAUAUGGGAACAUCCUUUUUUUCUCUGAAGUUCUGUUACAAAUUUAAGGUUACUUGAGGUGCUCCUCAUCACAAAGCACAGAAUUCCAUUUCAAGAAACCCUAAUAAUAAAGCUAUCAUUUCUUAUAAAACAUGCUGUAGGCAAAACUAAUCCUAGCUCGUCAAAGUGGCUUGAAUUGGAUAACUUUUGAUGUUCGUUUCUCUAUGAUGUAUAAAUAUAAAUGUAUGCAUAUGUAAAUAUGAACUCAUAAAAUAGAUCACGCAAAUCAUUUUCUGAAAUAUUUUUUCUCUCCGCUACUUUCUUCAGCAGCAUGAUCUUCUCACAACUGUUUCCAGAGUAUUUUUAGAUCUGAGGGGCACAUUCCAAACUCAGUUUUUUGGCCGUAAAUACUGAGUGACUGCCCUGAAGUUACUGAAAUUCCUCCAGUCAGAAAUAAGCAAAAAAAUUUGUCCUUUCUCCAUGACAGGAGCAACUGAAUUUUAUCAAUCAAGCAAGACAGGGCAUUCUUUUUACUAUAUUUUAUACCAUGAAUAGAAAUGCCAUGUUCAAAGUAUUUAGCAAUAAAGUACAUAUUUAUUUCUUUGUUCCUAUAGUGCAUGCAACACAUCUUGCAUUCCUGCAUGCAAGUUAACUCAGCGGUGCUAAAGGUAGCCUGACUCUGCAACUCUGCCCUUUGAGUAACGCUGCUGAUGUGCGCAGAGAGUUCACAUGAAAAGGGACAGCAAGUGUAGGCCAUUCUAUAAAGGCAUAUUUAAAUAGAAGGUCAUUCAAGAUAAUUUGACUUAUGAACAAGACUUCAUUUGAGUCAACCAAUUUUAUAAUUACCUGUUACUCGUAAAGUGAAUUUCUGGAUGCUAUUUUCUUUGAUAUCUUUAUGACUCAUAGUUCAGUUGAGCAAAGCAAACUGCAGUUUGCUAAUGCAAGUGUGUACAAAUUUGAAACUGGUUAGGUUGGGUGUGUCUGUCUAUAGAAACAUACAUUUUUUCAUAGUUUUCAAUAAAUGUUACUGAUGAAAAAUUAUUUGGCUACUUCUUAGUUGAAUUUAAGUGUUUAAUAGUUUGAAUACCAUUCUUUAAAGUUAAUUCAACUGGGUAAUAAUCGAAGUUCAGGGCAGAAAAACGGCAUCCAUUCUGGAAGAAAACAGUAACUGUAAGAAGUUGUCUAUCUUGAUCAGGUUGCAUAGGUUAUAUAACCAGUUGGCAUCAAUUUACAACAUCUAAUGCACAUGCAGGCCCACUUCCUUCACAUAUCCUAUGGAAAGCAGAGGGCAACCGGUUUUCAUUUGAAAGAACUAAGAAGUUAUUCCUUUAGUUUUGCUUCAGGCUGUAGCUCAUAGUUUCAAGAGCUUGGAGCAAAUUUACUCCCUGUUUACCACUUUGCAAAGAGAUGAAGGAAGCACAGCCUACAGCUCAUUUCUAUUGCUAUGCAGAAUGUUUUCUGCAUGACUUGCAGUGAUUCACAAUCAACAUUAUGCAGAAAUUGCAGUAAAAGUUAGACAAACUCACAAAACACAGAAAAGAGCAGCAUGUAGGCACCUACAGCUCUACUCCCUCCCUUUCUGUGUUGUGGAGGUUUGGCUGUGGCACUGGAAGACUUGACAGGGCACUCAAACUGAGAAUGGACAUCUCUAGAGCAUAGAUAACCUACAUAAUGCAAGAGAGCCUGUAAACUGCUUUGGUUAUGCUAACAGCCCAACAAAUUAGCAAUCUCCAGAAGCAGACAAAAAUGUUAUUAGUUUAUCUAAACCUAUGAGAUACAAAUUGUGAUCUUCUAGCUGAAAAUCUAGUCUUUAAGUUCUUCGCAUCCUUCCCUUUAAGCUAGUGCUACUGUUGACUAUUACUAACUCAGAGCUGCAAUUACAACUGUAGUCAUCAUUAUAAAAAGCAAAAAUCAAGAGCUAUUGUAUCUUAUCAAUAGACUGGAACUUUCAGGUAAAAAAAAAAUCUAUGAAUGUUGUUCAAAUUUGAACAUAAGUAGCUACCUCCAAGCAUAUUUAAUGGUACUAUUUUAAGUCUUGAUAUAUCAAAUCAUACAGUUGCAAUAUGUUGUAUAAGAAAAAUAUGACUUGCAGACCAACAUUUCAGUUUACUAAUUCACCACUUUUCAAUUUUGCAUAUCAUUUGUACAUUUAUAAAUACGUUGAAAAAUAACUGUAUCAUUCAUUUUCUCAAAAUAAGUGUUUUUUCAUCUACCAAUGUAGAAGUUUCAGAUGAACUGAGUAAUUAAUAUAAUAUCUAACACUGUGAGUAUUUUAAUAAACACAAAGCAAGAUAUUGGACUGAGUAUGAUUCCAACUGUGAGUGAUUUAUAGUGAUAAAAAUACACAGAUGCCAUCUGUACCAACAGAAGAACACUCGUCACAAAUUUGUUUUCUGGUAACACUUCCCUUUCAUUUAUACUGAAAAAAUGAGUGCUGGUUGUUUUUUUUUGUUUGUUUGUUUUCUGUUUUUUUUUUUUUUGUUUUUUUUUUUUACAUGACCCUGACAGUAAAAUAUGGCUACUUUUAAAAUGAGUAACCUAACCAUAGGAGAAAUACACAGAAAGCUAAAUUAAAAUACUCAUUUGACUUGCCCAGGGCCUCCAUAAUAUAUCCUUGAAUGCUCACCAAAUAUUAAGUUUGCUAGACUAGCUUUGCUAGCUUAGUAGCUGUGUCCAUACUAAGACUUUUUUUGUUGGGUGUAACACCCCUCAACACUCCCAGAGAAAGCUGAAACAAACAAACAAAAAAGUACCUCAACAGAAAUGGCAAAAGCUUUAAGUUCAGAACCCAGCCUAAGUCAUUAGUCUGACAUCAUCAGCUUGCCAGCAUCUCUGCAUUAAGCAAGAGGGCCAUGGGGUAUGCACAAGGCAAAGUAGGGCAGGUAGUGAGAGCACUGAUAAAUAUCAGUCAACUUCAAAUACUAACAAGAAGAUCAAAAGAAAAAUGGAAUUUAAAUAAAAUCUGCACAUGGAGAAUGUCAUUAGCAGCAGUUGCAGAAAGAAAGAUAUGACAGCCAAAGUGUGGUUCAUUUACAACCAUGCACCAGAUAUGGAGAGUUUUGAGAAUGAGAAUUACCAUCACCUAUAUUAGAGUAAUAAACUGAUGGCAAGUGCAACAUGCUGCAUAGGUUCUAGUUUGGUCCCUCUGUUGAGUAUGUACAGCCACAGCUAUGCUAUCUUUACCUUGCUUUCUCAGUUCUAUGUUUGACACUGAAAUUCACUGCAUGUGGAGAGAAAAACAGAUCACAUACUCCUGCAGCCUCUUACUGAAUUUUUAUUAAUAUGCCUAUUCAACCUCGGGUUCUAAAAUAUGACAAGAAUGUAAAUAAAAAGUAAAUCUGAAAAACUGUGAUCUUUAUUCUACAACUGUGCUUCACACCUCCGCUUGGUUCAGUUUUCUAGCCCUUCAGAAUUUCCUUUGUAUCAAAAAGCUGAUAGAUUUAGCUCCUGAGAACUUCAAGCUAGUUUUCCUGUUGAAAUUUAGGAAAACAGAACAGCUGUCAUUCAAUCACACUUCAGCAAGUGCCAAUCCUGUUCACUUUCAAAUGUUUAUUCCCCAAGAAUCAGUACUUCAUUGGCAUGUCCUACUGACAUGUCAUAAGAAAUAUUCAGAUCAGUCAGACGUGGAACAAACACAUUAUAGAGCCUAUGGUUCCAGAGUUCCUACUCAUCUGAUGUUUGGUAUAUUUUUAAUAUAUCUUCAUUGUCUUAAAUUGUGCAGAUUUUUUAGUCCAGAAGGUCACUGUUACAUUAAGAAUUUGCCUUCAUGGAGUAAGACUUAAUAAUAAUUCUACCUGGAACAAUUCACCAUACAUAGUUGUCAUGGUUUUAUGAUUUUUGGUUAUCGGUAUUCCACAUCAUAACACCAUGUAGUGUACUGGGAGUUGAAGAGUUAAUGCUUUGGUUCUGUGGAUCGUGGAUAGUGCUAGGUACCUGGUCCUCAGAAGAGAAGAAGAACUACAUUUCCCAGAGGACCCUGCUGCUCUGUUACCGUUUUCCGUUCAGAGGGAAAGAUAAAAAGUGUUCGCGUAUCACGAGACGUCCCCUUCUUCACUUCCCAUCUCUGGUCCCAGCAGCAUCUUGCUCCCCAGCCGUCUCACCAUCAGCAUUAGAGUAAGGCCUACCUUAAUUUUGGACACUCUCUCUCAUUUUAUUGGAUUUAUUAGCUUAAAUUGUAAUUAUAUU